rnacentral:rRNA from 1 species
AUGCUUGGGUGUAGGACUUCCUCAACACCUAUUGACCAGAAUCAUAAGUUAUGUGCUAAAUCUGGCGAACCAGUGGAUAAGGAGAAGUACCAGAGACUUGUUGGAAGGCUCAUCUACAUAUGUCAUACACGACCCGAUAUCUCAUAUGCAGUGAGUGUAGUGAGCAGAUACAUGCAUGAUCCUAGGAGUGGACACUUAGAGGUUGUCUAUCGAAUCCUUCGAUAUCUGAAGGGUAAUCCAGGAAGGGAACUAUGGUUUAAGAAGAAUGGGCAUCUUAAUAUAGAUGGGUAUUGUGAUGCGGACUGGGGAAGUUGUUUGGAUGACAGAAGAUCUACUUCUGGUUAUUGUGUGUUUGUUGGGGAAAACUUGGUGUCAUGA